AGUGAACGCUGGCGGCGUGCCUAAUACAUGCAAGUCGAACGGAGUGGCGCACGGGUGAGUAAUAUAUAGCUAAUCUGCCCCUUGCUGGAGGACAACAGUUAGAAAUGACUGCUAAUACUCCAUAGCAAGGGAUGAGACUAUGUCGUAUCAGCUAGUCGGUGGGGUAACGGCCUACCGAGGCUGUGACGCGUAACUGGUCUGAGAGGAUGAUCAGUCACACUCGAACUGAUACACGGUGCAAACUCCUGCGGGAUGGAGCAGUAGGGGAUAGUGCGCAGUGGGGGAAACCCUGACGCAGCAACGCCGCGUGGAGGAUGACACUUUUCCGAGCGUAAACUCCUUUUAUUAGUGAAGCGGUACCUAACGAAUAAGCGCCGGCUAACUCCGUGCCAGCAGCCGCGGUAAUAC
rnacentral:rRNA from 1 species